CAUGUUUGGUUCUACUCUAGGUCUCUGGUCUCUCCAGACUCUGGUUCCUAGUCUUCCAGGCAGUGUCUGACAUGGGCUCCCUUUCAUGCAAAGGAAUUCUCUUUUUCCCUAUUAUCAGUGAGAAAAGAGUCCAAAAGAAAACAUGUCAGCUAUGAUUAACACGGAACAUAGUCUGAAUGACUGUGUGAAGGAAAUAAAGUGCACAGUGGUGAGGACUCCCUGUUUGAGAUCCUGAAGAAGUGCAUGUCUGUGGCUGUCAGCACAGGUUGAGAUCUGUUUUUUGUCAGUCGCCAGAUCAGUGCUUUGAGGUGCAGGGAACAAAAGUUAGUAUCCAGAGCCCAUGCCAGCCAGGGUAAGUUACCUUGAGUUGGGAUUAAAGGGGCAUGCAUAGGAAACAAGGGCAAACUGAAUAGACCAGGCAAGCACAUUAUAGUUAGUGUCCCCAAGUGCCUGGCAGAAGGAAACUGUCUUUGGAGAAAGGGACUUGGUGUUUGUUGGUGGUAGUGUUUUGUUUUUGUUGUUGUUUUGGGGAUUUUUUUUUUUGGUUGUUUGA